GCUUACACAUGCAGUCGAACGGGGACUAUUGGGGGGGCAACCCUCCGAUAGUUCUAGUGGCGAACGGGUGAGUAACACGUGAGAAAUCUACCCCUUAGACUGGGACAACCCGCCGAAAGGUGGGCUAAUACCGGAUGUGGUGCCCGGGUGCGAUCCCCGGGCAUUGAAGGAUGGCUGAGGCUUGCAAGCUAUCGCUAAGGGAUGAGCCCGCGCCUGAUUAGCUAGUUGGUGGGGUAAAGGCCUACCAAGGCGACAAUCAGUAGCCGGCCUGAGAGGGCGUACGGCCACACUGGAACUGAGACACGGUCCAGACUCCUACGGGAGGCAGCAGUGGGGAAUUUUCCACAAUGGGCGAAAGCCUGAUGGAGCAACGCCGCGUGAGUGAUGAAGGCCUUCGGGUUGUAAAACUCUGUCGUGCAAGAACAAAGUCACCGGGUGAACAAUCCGGUGAUCUGAUUGUAUUGCAGGAGGAAGACACGGCUAACUCUGUGCCAGCAGCCGCGGUAAUACAGAGGCGUCAAGCGUUGUCCGGAAUUACUGGGCGUAAAGGGCGUGUAGGCGGGCUUGUAAGUCGGAUGUGAAAUCACUGGGCUUAACCCAGUAACUGCAUCCGAAACUGCUUGUCUUGAGUGCAGAAGAGGAAAGCGGAAUUCCCGGUGUAGCGGUGAAAU
rnacentral:rRNA from 1 species